rnacentral:rRNA from 1 species
ACGCUCGACACCUACGGGAGACAGCAGUAGGGAAUCUUCCACAAUGGACGCAAGUCUGAUGGAGCAACGCCGCGUGAGUGAAGAAGGUUUUCGGAUCGUAAAGCUCUGUUGUUGGUGAAGAAGGAUAGAGGUAGUAACUGGCCUUUAUUUGACGGUAAUCAACCAGAAAGUCACGGCUAACUACGUGUCAGCAGCCGCGGUAAUCUGAGCGGGCUGGCAAGGC